rnacentral:misc_RNA from 1 species
AAGUCGUAACAAGGUUUCCGUAGGUGAACCUGCGGAAGGAUCAUUAACACGUAUCCAACGUUAAACCCCCCGUGAACCUUCAGUGCGCUCGCACUUUCUUAGAAAAGGUAGCAAUCCCUGGUAACGAGGGGGGCUCGCGCCCAGUGACCCGGUCGCCGGCCGUGUCGGCCUCUAGCGAUCGUGACUGCGCCAUUCGUACAGAGCUGGUGACACUUUCAGACACCAACAAGCAGAGGAAUGCCAGGCCACUUGCCUCACGCUCAUGCACAGUCUACGCAGAAGUCCCUGAAUCAAAACUGUUCGGCAAUGAUUUAUAUUCACCUUUGCAUGAAAACGGGCCUGCGCUUAAUUGUGCGGCCACCAAACUCGAACAACUGUUAACAAUGGAUAUCUUGGUUCUC